GAUGAACGCUGGCGGCGUGCCUAAUACAUGCAAGUCGAGCGAACAGACGAGGAGCUUUCUCCUCUGACGUUAGCGGCUGACGGGUGAGUAACACGUGGAUAACCUACCUAUAAUUCUGGGAUAACUUCGGGAAACCGGAUCUAAUACCGGAUAAUAUAUUGAACCGGAUGGUUCAAUAGUUAAAGACGGUUUUGCUGUCACUUAUAGAUGGAUCCGCGUCGCAUUAGCUAGUUGGUAAGGUAACGGCUUACCAAGGCAACGAUGCGUAGCCGACCUGAGAGGGUGAUCAGCCACACUGGAACUGAGACACGGUCCAGACUCCUACGGGAGGCAGCAGUAGGGAAUCUUCCGCAAUGGGCGCAAGCCUGACGGAGCAACGCCGCGUGAGUGAUGAAGGUCUUCGGAUCGUAAAACUCUGUUAUUAGGGAAGAAAAAAUGUGUAAGUAAAUAUGGAUGUUUUGACGGUACCUAAACAGAAAGCAACGGCUAACUACGUG
rnacentral:rRNA from 1 species